rnacentral:misc_RNA from 1 species
UAGAGAUUGGUUGGGUAACACCUUCCAAACCUCCCACCCUUUGUUUACAUUACCUUUGUUGCUUUGGCAGGCCCGUCUUUUAGACCGCCGGCUUCGGCUAGCCAGUGCCUGCCAGAGGACCUAAAACUCUGUUUAAUUGUAUUGUCUGAGUACUAUAUAAUAGUUA